AGGGUUGGGAUCAUGCAGCGUUGAGGCGUACGGGUCACCGAGGCGGUUUGUCGCGUCUGCUGUGAAAGCCCGGGGCUCAACCCCGGGUCUGCAGUGGGUACGGGCAGACUAGAGUGCAGUAGGGGAGACUGGAAUUCCUGGUGUAGCGGUGAAAUGCGCAGAUAUCAGGAGGAACACCGAUGGCGAAGGCAGGUCUCUGGGCUGUAACUGACGCUGAGGAGCGAAAGCAUGGGGAGCGAACAGGAUUAGAUACCCUGGUAGUCCAUGCCGUAAACGUUGGGCACUAGGUGUGGGGGACAUUCCACGUUUUCCGCGCCGUAGCUAACGCAUUAAGUGCCCCGCCUGGGGAGUACGGCCGCAAGGCUAAAACUCAAAGGAAUUGACGGGGGCCCGCACAAGCGGCGGAGCAUGCGGAUUAAUUCGAUGCAACGCGAAGAACCUUACCAAGGCUUGACAUGAACCGGAAAGGCCUGGAAACAGGUCCCCCACUUGUGGCCGGUUUACAGGUGGUGCAUGGUUGUCGUCAGCUCGUGUCGUGAGAUGUUGGGUUAAGUCCCGCAACGAGCGCAACCCUCGUUCUAUGUUGCCAGCGGGUUAUGCCGGGGACUCAUAGGAGACUGCCGGGGUCAACUCGGAGGAAGGUGGGGACGACGUCAAAUCAUCAUGCCCCUUAUGUCUUGUGCUUCACGCAUGCUACAAUGGCCGGUACAAAGGGUUGCGAUACUGUGAGGUGGAGCUAAUCCCAAAAAGCCGGUCUCAGUUCGGAUUGAGGUCUGCAACUCGACCUCAUGAAGUUGGAGUCGCUAGUAAUCGCAGAUCAGCAACGCUGCGGUGAAUACGUUCCCGGGCCUUGUACCCACCGCCCGUCAAGUCACGAAUGGUGGUAACACCCGAAGCCGGUGCCUAACCCCUUGUG
rnacentral:rRNA from 1 species